rnacentral:tRNA from 1 species
GCGUUAGUGGUGUAAGGUAUAGCAUCGCUUACCGGAAAUCUGAAGGUGCGGGUUCGAAUCCCGCCUGGCGCA